CGUAUCUAACGCAUUUCACCGUAUGCUCCACGAGUAUGUGUAGUAUCAUAUGCAUCUAAAAUCCUUGACUGGUCCUCUUCACCUUGAGAAAAAGCAUACCCUCUCUGUUUACGCAUUCUCUGCAUCUGUCUUAUUUUCCUGAUAGCUUUAUGAAACCCGACAAUACGAGGUCUAUAGUCUGUGACAUUAUAUUUCUGAAUUUCUUGAACGUAAUGAUACUCCUCAGGAUAAUACAUUCUGGAUGAAUAUUUCCACACAAAGUCACGCAUCAGUGCUAUUGUUGGCAAAACAAGUAGGGAAGCCCAAAAUUUUAGAUUCCCGUAAAGAUGUGGAAUUAUUCCGUAGUACUCCUUUGAAAAUCCGAUAGCGGGUGCUGCAACAGCAUAAAUGGGCAUAAACACUAUCCAUAGCAAGAAAGAUCCGAGGGUAGCAAUUACAGUGUAUUGAGUCCAAUGAUUACUAAUUAAGGCAGCCUUACCUAAAACAGUAGCUAGUAUUGCAGCGUAAAGUGUAGUACCCCACACCCAAUGACCUGACGCGAGACCAUCCUUAUUAGGACCAUCAUAGUAAAACACAGCAAUGGAACAAAGAAAUAGAAGAAGUGAAUGAUAAAACCCAUUUGUUAUCCAAGACCAAAACCUUUUUAAGUUAAAAAAUUCACUUCUUUGACCUAAUUGAUAAAGUUGCGGAUACUGAAAAAGUUGACCAGCGCUUACAAACUGAUCAAAUAUACCUAUUACCACCGGUGGAAGAACAGUAAAAAGCACAUUAUACAGUGAAAUAGACCAAGACUCAAAAAUUACCUGGCCGGAAAAUGCAUUGCAAAAAGCGUACCAAAACUGAGUCAUGUAGAGAGCAAUGUUUUUGUAAAACGAGUACAAAAUAAGUUUGCUGAGACGCUGAUAACACCAAGAUCCGUGAACAAGUAACAAUUUUUUUAAAUAGCAAAAUUGGGAAAUUGAAAAAUCAGAGCUUCGAACUGCUUGUAACCCUUCCAUACCGCUGAUUCCAACCCCAACAUGGGCAGCUUGAAUCAUCGGCACAUCAUUAGCGCCAUCUCCAAUAGCUAAUAGCACUUCACCUGUAUUUCUUUUAACCAUCUUAACGAUCAAAGCCUUCUGUAAAGGUGAGACACGACAACAUAUCACGGCACGGCAUAAAGAAGCCAGUUCAAAGAAUCGGCGUUCUAGGCUAAAAUCUAAUGCAUAAGUAAGUGAAACCCCAUCUAUAACCAAAGCCAUUGAUUCAACAUUUCCAGUGGUAGCUUCGUUUCGAUAUAUAGAAGAUAACUUAGCCAUUACGCUUUCAGCAGUAGCCUCUUUCGUUUCUUCGUUCACUAUAACUAAACCCAUGUCUUCAUCAAUCAACUUGCAACUCAUGCCAAUAUUAAUUGCGGUCUCUUGUCGAUCACCGGUCAGAACCCAGAUUUUUAUUCCAGCUGUUUGUAAAGUUGAGAUAGUAUCAGGAACUCCAUCUUGCAGUCUAUCUUCUAUAGCGGUAGCUCCCAGCAAGAUUAAAUCCUUUUCAAUUUCUUCAGCAGCAUCCAUAAGCUUCUGAGCACGGUCAACCAGACUAGAGGCUGCAGUUUCAAACACUGUUGACCACCUUUGAUAUUCGUCUUCCGGGACUUCCCGCAUAGCAAUACAAAGCGUACGUAAACCCACGGUAGCAUAAUCUUCAAGAUGAUGAAUCGUAGUUUGUAAGUACGGGUUAUCGGAUGCUAACCUUUCCAUAAUGACUGUGUCAGCACCUUUAACGUAUAAACGAAUUUUUCCAUCAGGACAACGAAAAACUAUUGACAUCCUUUUGCGAGUAGAAUUAAAUUCGCAAAUAUGUAAUAGUUCAUAACUUUCAUCUUUUCCAAAAAUACUUACAGUCACUAAAUGCGGUUUCCUCGCUAGAAACUUAUAACCAAUGGAUGCAGCACCUUUCACUAAGGCACCUUCAUCCGGUGAAGAAGCUUGAUAUUUAAUUGAAUUAGUGGAUUCAUCAUACUCUGGGAUAACCGUAUGGCAAAUAGAAAGAACUAGUAAGAACUGAUGUAUAAGGCUUGCAUUUUCACUAUGUUUGAGAUUUUCUUUAAGCGUAUCAAAAUCGUAUAUGUACAUAUCAGAAUCAAGGUCUUCUGAGGUAAACUGACGAUCUUCAGGAAUAACAUCAGCAUAUGCAACACCGGCUAUAGUGCAUUGACGAAAUUCCAUUUGAUUUCUCGUCAAUGUACCUGUUUUGUCGCUAAAAAUAUAUCCAACCUGACCCAAUUCUUCAACUAGAGAAGAUGUGCGGCAUGCAGCUGGAGUAUCAGUUUCCUCAUUGUACAUAUCAAGGUCACUGCUGAUUAGCUGUGCCUGUAUAUAUCGGACUAACUCAAAAGUAACGAACAAAGAAAUUGGCACAAGAUUUGAGUAGAGAAUCCAGAAAGUCAGCAACCCUUUGAAAAACAUGCCGGCCCUGUUGGAAGUAUAUUUAACAUAAGAUAAAGCUGAUCCAUAAACCGAACGAUGAAUGAGAGCUCCAAGUGAAGAGGCAAAACAAAGAAACACAAAGAUGCAUAAUAAAAACAGAAUCUGUGAGUUCACUUGCUUCUCGACGGAAGUUCGUUUAAUGGGUGUUUCUGUAGUGUUCUUCAUAAGUUUAGAUUCAUGACCAGUAAAUACAACAAUGCCAUACACCCAAGGCGUAUUACGAAGCUGAGCACCACGAAGCAAUAACUGAUCGGGAGAUAAUGGAAGU
rnacentral:lncRNA from 1 species